rnacentral:rRNA from 1 species
GGAAACAGGUGCUAAUACCGCAUAACCAUGAACACCGCAUGAUGUUCAUGUGAAAGACGGCUUUUGCUGUCACUUUUGGAUGGGCCUGCGGCGUAUUAACUUGUUGGUGGGGUAACGGCCUACCAAGGUGAUGAUACGUAGCCGAACUGAGAGGUUGAUCGGCCACAUUGGGACUGAGACACGGCCCAAACUCCUACGGGAGGCAGCAGUAGGGAAUCUUCCACAAUGGACGAAAGUCUGAUGGAGCAACGCCGCGUGAAUGAAGAAGGCCUUCGGGUCGUAAAAUUCUGUUGUCAGAGAAGAACGUGCGUGAGAGUAACUGUUCACGUAUUGACGGUAUCUGACCAGAAAGCCACGGCUAACUACGUGCCAGCAGCCGCGGUAAUACAAU